rnacentral:lncRNA from 1 species
UCAUUCAAUUUAAACUUGGUUAAUUUAAUCUAGAAAUACUCCUUAGUAUGUUAAAGUAAAUACUAAAUUCUUUAUCAAAACCUUGGUGUUUCCUACGUUUUUCCUUCUUCCUUUCUCCUAUCCUUCUCUCUCUAGAUCUCUCUCUCUAAAACUCUUUGGUGGAUGGAAGAAUGAAGCGGAAGUGGUGAGGAAAUGGUGAAGAAGGGGGUCUCUGUUUAUAGAAAAUAGAGACUGUUAGAUUUGUACCUAGUGGCAAAAUUUAGUGAAGAGGGAGAGUCAAAGUGAAUUGAUGCGAUAUGAUGAUUGAUUAGUAUGACUGACAGAUGGACGACGUGAUAAUAACGAGACAACAAUGCAAAAACUAGAGGCACGCCACUCGAACAACAGCGACACAUUGCCUAACAGGCGGCACUCAUCACCCGAAGGCAGUGCACGAUGCCUAAGGAGGCGGCAUGCCCUGCCUGGGGAAGCACAUGUGCCUGAGGCAGUAGGUGAUGCCCCAACCUACCACGCGCAGGCCUAUUAUGUGUAGGUUUACCGCAUAGAUGGCGUACGCACAGGGUGAGCAGAGUCGCGCACCCCAUCCUGCAUGCAAACCGUGCCCCGUGCCUCGUGGCCCACAUGGAUGGGAAGUGUGCACAGGCCCAUAUCUUGUGCUGAUAGUGCGCACACAGUGCACGGAUCCUGCGCCGGCAGGGUCCUUCCUGUGGGCGUUUCCACAUGAUUUUUCUUUGUUUCUCCUUUAUUUUUCCCCAAAUUUUUUUAUUAAAUUUAAAAUAAUUUCUCAAUAAUCAGUGAAAUAAAAUAAGUUUUAAUAAUGAUUUAAGCUAAAUAAAUAUGGAACUAAAAUAUGAAAUUUACCCAGAAAGUAAAAUAUGAAAUUUAAAGAGUUAAAAUGGCCUUAGGGCCUAAAUAAAUAGGGGUUCGCAAUAUAAAUUAUGCAUGAAGGUUUUCAGGGUAUUACAUAAUCAGUCGUGAUUCCAUUCUCAUCAAAGGGAAUGCAAAUACCAUUCAUAAAGAGUGGUUCACCAAUAGUCAGUAGCAAUCAUAUUCGGUCACACCUCAGUGAUAACAGUAAAAUGGAUUUCAGUCUUUCCACUUUUUUGAUCAGUUUAAGAUCAUAGUCAAUUUAGUCUAGAUUUAGUGGAUGUCCAUUUAGCAAGGCCAGCCCGAUAAAGGCCCACAUACUUUGAUUGGACCAUUAGGUAACCUUCUCGGGCCAAAGACUAAUUGAGUAACCCUCUCAGCCAUCGGCCAAAGGCAAAGCUAAGGGCCCAGUCUGCACACAUAGCAUACCGUUCAAAAUAAUUUCUUAUAUUUCCAUAACUUGACUUGAACAUGUAAAAAUUAUAUCCAGACAUGAUUCAAAGAUAAAACAGUCAAAAUCCAUCAAAUAUCAUACGAAAUGUGAUCUUUAAAAUAGUACUCAUUACAUGCAUGAAAUCAAACCAAGCAAUCAUGAAUUUCAUU